rnacentral:tRNA from 1 species
GCAUUGGUGGUUCAGUGGUAGAAUUUUUGUUUCUCAUUCAAGAGACCUGGGUUCAGUUCCUGGCCAGUGCA